GUAGGAAGGGAAACUGGACGGACCCUUCGGGGAGGCUUGUACAGGUGCUGCAUGGCUGUCGUCAGCUCGUGUCGUGAGAUGUUCGGUUAAGUCCGCUAACGAGCGCAACCCUCGCUGUGUGUUACAAGUGUCACACGGGAACUGCCGGUCAUAAACCGGAGGAAGGUGGGGAUGACGUCAAGUCAGCAUGGCCUUUAUAUCCUGGGCUACACACACGCUACAAUGGGAAGGGACAAUAGGUUGCGAAGCCGCGAGGCGGAGCCAAUCCAGCAAAACUUCCCUCAGUUCAGAUUGCAGGCUGCAACUCGCCUGCAUGAAGUUGGAGUUGCUAGUAAACGCAGGUCAGCCAUACUGCGUUGAAUACGUUCCCGGGGCUU
rnacentral:rRNA from 1 species